UUCAAUUUAAUGGCUAAUUUUACACAGGCUUUGACGCCAAUAGGAGGAUUUUUUUCACAUGAAAAACGGUAAAGUAAAAUGGUUUAAUGCAGAAAAAGGUUUUGGCUUCAUCGAAUCAGAGGACGGAAACGACGUAUUUGUCCAUUUCUCCGCUAUUCAGUCCGAGGGCUUCAAAUCACUUGAAGAAGGCCAGGAGGUUUCUUUUGAAAUCGUCGAAGGCGCGCGCGGCCCACAGGCAGCCAACGUCACAAAACUUUAAUAUCCGACUUGUUCCGCAGCCAGGCAAUCCGCCUGGCUGUUUUA
rnacentral:misc_RNA from 1 species